GCUGUCGUCAGCUCGUGUUGUGAAAUGUUGGGUUAAGUCCCGCAACGAGCGCAACCCUUAUCCUUGUUUGCCAGCGAGUAAUGUCGGGAACUCCAGGGAGACUGCCGGUGAUAAACCGGAGGAAGGUGGGGACGACGUCAAGUCAUCAUGGCCCUUACGAGUAGGGCUACACACGUGCUACAAUGGCGCAUACAGAGGGCGGCCAACUUGCGAAAGUGAGCGAAUCCCAAAAAGUGCGUCGUAGUCCGGAUUGGAGUCUGCAACUCGACUCCAUGAAGUCGGAAUCGCUAGUAAUCGUGGAUCAGAAUGCCACGGUGAAUACGUUCCCGGGCCUUGUACACACCGCCCGUCACACCAUGGGAGUGGGCUGCAAAAGAAGUGGGUAGUUUAACCUUCGGGAGGACGCUCACCACUUUGUGGUUCAUGACUGGGGUGAAGUCGUAACAAGGUAGCGCUAGGGGAACCUGGCGCUGGAUCACC
rnacentral:rRNA from 1 species